ensembl:lncRNA
CAUUUUCUGACACACUUUACUAUAAAUUUUUUUUUUUUUUUUUUUUUUUUUUUUUCCCAACAAAAUAGGUAUUGUAAAAAAAAAGAGAACACGUUCUUUUGACGUUCACCUUCAUCCUUACUGAUAUACUAUUAGAUAUAGAGGGAAAUAUCCAAAUAGAAUUGAAAUUUAUAGAAAAUGAUUAUACUACAACUAGCACUCUUGAAAAUAUACAAAAAAAACACAGAUGAUUUAUACGAAGAGGAAAUUGGUACAUAAAAUAAGAAGUAUAUGAAGACACAAGAGAAGAAGGUGUAGGAGCUAACGUUCUGUCAACACAAAAAAAAAAAAAAAAAUUGAUGAUUUAACUUUCUCACACGCUCAAAAAAUAUUUGACAACAUUCAAACGUUUAAAUACACAUAUGACAACAUUAGUAGAAGUACGCUUCAAAAGGCAAUAAGACGACUGUAUGGAAUUCCAAAUGAUGAUGAUAUUGUCGAAAAAGAAAAUGUGAAAGAAACAAAUAUAGAGAGAGUUAAACAAUUUAGUAAAUUUUAUUUUUACGUUCACAUAAAAAUAUACACAUGCAACUCUAAAGAUGUAGUAAUGAAAAGCGAAAAGUUUGAAAAUUUAACUGAAACUAAUAUUUAUCCUAAACAUUUAUAUUUUAAAAGAUAUAUUUAUUUACCAAUUCCAAUGGAGGACAAAUCUAAAAGCUUUUUUAAAAGACAUUAUUUUGAUUUUGAUAAAUUAGAAAAUUUAAAGAUUCAAAAUAAAAUGGAAAAUGAAAUACCAGAUGAGCAAACAAUUUUAUAUCAUAAAAGUUAGAUUAUAAUACCAUUCUUUUUUUUUUUUUCAAGCUUAUACGUGUAAUUAUAUACAUAUAUACGAAUUACAUUAUAUGCUAACUUUUUUUUUUUUUUUUUUUUUUGGCAUUUUACAAUUAUUACACAUGUUAUUAUACAUUUUCCCUAAUUAAACUUUUUUUUUAAUUUUGCUAAAUCGUUGUAGGAAAAAUUUACUGUUGUAUGUUUUCGGAAAUGUUUAAAAGUAUAAUUAAGACACAUAUCAAGAAAUAUGUUACAGAACUUUUGAAUAUUAGCUCAUGUUCAAUACAAACGAUUGAUAAAAUUUUAAGUGAAGAUUUGAUUGAUGUUAUAAAAAGUUUGUUUAAAACAUAAAAAAGAAAAAGUGAUAUAAUGGGUGUAUAUAUAUAUAUAAAUGUUUAUGUUUGAAAUAUGGCAUUUACUCAAAUUUGUGUUGUUACGUAUUUGUGUAUAUGCAUAUGCAUAUAUAUAUAUAUAUAUAUAUAUAUAUAUUAUGUUUACUUUUCUUUUUUUUUUUUUAUUUUUUUUUUUAAGGAAACAAAAAAGCGGAUGUAGUAAACAGCCCAAUAGAACAUAAUUAUUCAUUUUUAAAACCGACGAUUUUGUCCCAUUUUUUUUCAAGUAUUUUUUCAGAUGUUAUUAAAAAUCUUACAAAUGAAAAUGUUGUAUUUACUAAAAAAGCUUAAUUGGAAAUUUUGUACAAAUUAAAACUUAAACAAAUGCGUAAAUUAAUAAAAUAAUAAAAUAAUAAAAUUAUAAAAUAAUA